UGGUGCAAAGAUAUCCUCAAACUCUUGGACCACUUCUAUGUCUUUGACCUUAACUUCAUCAUUAGUGGCUCCUCCACUAACCGAUAAAGUCACCAAAUAUACUUCCCCAUCUUGAAACAAAUCUCGUACUCUCAUUGCUGCUACCAAAGACACGGUCAUACUAGGACUGAUUCCAUAGUAUACCAUCUCUGGUCGUUUACCUCUGCCAAACAACAGUCUUCCCUUUCCACAGUCGAUCUGAACUCUGUAGCUCGAUAACCAAUCCAUUCCAAGGAUUACUUUGUACCCUUUCAAAGGCACGACUAACAGAUCUGCCACAAAUUCUUUCUCUUGAAUGACCAAUGG
rnacentral:lncRNA from 1 species